rnacentral:lncRNA from 1 species
AACUGGAUCGGAAAACCUAAAUUCGGCCCAACAAAUGGCCCAAAAAAAAAUAUUUCCUAAAGUACGAAACUUCAACGAAUUAAUUGAGACGUCUAAACUCCUAAUCAGCUUUUGGUUUCAACAUAAAAGUUGUAGCUCUUUCUCUUAGCUUUCCAACGCCUGGUAGCACGCCUCGACCCGAUACUCCUAACUCCAGUUAUGAUU